rnacentral:rRNA from 1 species
GCUACGGGUGGCAGCAGUGAGGAAUAUUGGUCAAUGGGCGCGAGCCUGAACCAGCCAAGUAGCGUGAAGGAUGACUGCACUACGUGUUGUAAACUUCUUUUAUCAAGGAAUAAAGUGAGGCACGUGUGCCUUUUUGUAUGUACUUUAUGAAUAAGGAUCGGCUAACUCCGUGCCAGCAGCCGCGGUAAUACGGAGGAUCCGAGCGUUAUCCGGAUUUAUUGGGUUUAAAGGGAGCGUAGGUGGGUUGUUAAGUCAGUUGGGAAAGUUUGCGGGUCAAACGUAAAAUUGCAUUUGAAACUGGCCGUCUUGAGUAGAUGUGAAGUAGGCGGAAUUCGUGGUGUAGCGGUGAAAUGCUUAGAUAUCACGAAGAACUCCGAUUGCGAAGGCAGCUUACUAGACUGCCACUGACGUUGAUGCUCGAAAGUGUGGGUAUCAAACAGGAUUAGAUACCCGAGUAGUC